GGGGCAGGCACUGUCUCUCGCUCCGUGUCUGUGCAGCGCCCGGCGCAAGGGGCUCAGGAUCUCGAGGGGGUGCCGUCAUGCUGAGGACACCCGGCUUUCCGCCUCCUCGUCCUCCUGCCAUCACAGCACUAUCCAAACCUAUCAGCAUCAAAGUGGCUUUUAAGCCAUCCACAUGGUAAACUCCCCUCAUCUUCCCGGCAUGGGUGGGGCCGCUGCCAAGCCAGGCUGAGAUUUACGGAGAGCAUGUGCCGUGUAGUAGGUGUAGAAGAGCACCAGCAAAACUUGGCUAACAUGGGGCCUCCUGCAUUCAGAACAGAUUCUCUGGGGCAGAUCUUCAGUGGAGCUGU